GUGCUAGUUUCAGCAGCACACUACAAUUGGAGUGAUAAGGAGAAGACUUAGCAUGGCCCCUGGACAAGGAUGACCCUCAAAUUCUCUUGAAGCAUUCCGGGGUCGG